rnacentral:tmRNA from 1 species
GGGGCUGACUGGCUUUGACAGCGUGUAGAAGUGGUGUGUAAGCGUGCAGAGCAAUGAUGGUUUCCUCUAUAAAAUCAACAUCAAUAAUUUUAAUUGGCGAAAACAUCUAGGCUCUCGCUGCUUGAUUGAAGUACAG